UUUCCGUAGGUGAACCUGCGGAAGGAUCAUUAAAGAGACGUUGCCCUUCGGGGUAUACCUCCCACCCAUUGUUUAUUUACCUUUGUUGCUUUGGCAGUCCCGGCUUCGGCCCACCGGCUCCGGCUGGUCAGUGACUGUCGAAGAUACCAAAACUCUGUUUGUUAAUAUUGUCUGAGUACUAUAUAAUAGUUAAAACUUCCAACAACGGAUCUCUUGGUUCUG
rnacentral:misc_RNA from 1 species